rnacentral:lncRNA from 1 species
AAAGAGUAGUAAGGACUAAGGAUCAUGAAGGGCCCGUUACAUUGAGAUAUUUCUUCAAAAAAAGAAAUUAGGCGUGUGAAUAAGUAAGUACCUCGUCUUCCUGGGACGUUCGCAUCCUAAAGCACGCGGCUUCCUACAAAUUUGACGAGGUAAGAAGUAUGGUGGUACGAGGGUUCCCAAACAAAUCAUGGCUUCAUUUAAAUUAGGCAAACCCUGAAUUUUAACAAGGGCAACCUCUUUCUUUUCCAGGUCAUACCAAAACAGCCUCUUCCUGUCGUGUUCCAACAGAACCUUGUUCCCAUCGCUCGAGUAGCCCAACGGCCUCACGCAUUUCAACGAUCUCAUCUCACGCGACUCCUCGAGCGUGAACACCUUACACCAACUGUCUCUACGGUUAU